UUUGUGUUUUAGGUGUUUUGUGAGUGCUUCUUUUAACUUAGUUGUACAAAGGAUUCAUUAUUUGUACCACCUGGAGCGUCAAACAGCCUCACAGGUCAGUGUUGGACAGAAGGCUGAGAGAGAAAACGGUGAUGACAGAGCUGGAACUGCACUUUACCUACUUUAACAACUCGAAUACCUUUAGAGUGAGGCUCAUAGACAUUAACAUCCAGUUGGCAGCACAAACCGAGCAGUGGAGCUCAAAACCAGACUCUCCAGUCCAAAACCAGAGAGCUGGCAGCCUCCUCUCGGAGCUGUUGGCUGCGGUGAUGUUCGCAGAGGUUUGGUGAGCAACAGUGAAGUGGGGCAGCAGCCCCGCCCGUCACCUCUGGACCAUUACGGCCCUGUACGGCUGCGACCGUGUGAGAUGAGAGCUCAUGAUUCACGUUCUUCUGCUGCUCAGGCCGUGUAUGGUCAGCCGAACUGUCAACUGUGCCACCACCGUGUCAGUGUAACUGUUAUGCUGACUAAGACCUACCAGCUAUACACACUCUGGUUAGCAGUGGCUCCGUGAUGGUCCCUUUCCAAUUACGACUGGGGUAGUGGUGCUUAUAAAUUGUACCAUAUAGGCUUUAGUUAGUAACUGCAAAUGUACAAAGUGAACCCAUGUAGUUGGUGUUUCCAAUAAAAUGGCAAAUGUGU